UACGUAGGGUGCGAGCGUUAAUCGGAAUUACUGGGCGUAAAGCGUGCGCAGGCGGUGAUGUAAGACAGUUGUGAAAUCCCCGGGCUCAACCUGGGAACUGCAUCUGUGACUGCAUCGCUGGAGUGCGGCAGAGGGGGAUGGAAUUCCGCGUGUAGCAGUGAAAUGCGUAGAUAUGCGGAGGAACACCGAUGGCGAGGGCAAUCCCCUGGGCCUGCACUGACGCUCAUGCACGAAAGCGUGGGGAGCAAACAGG
rnacentral:rRNA from 1 species